GUGAGUCAUCGAAUCUUUGAACGCACCUUGCGCUCCUUGGUAUUCCGAGGAGCAUGCCUGUUUGAGUGUCAGUAAAUUCUCAACCCCUCCUGGCUUUUGAUAGCUGGGCUUUCGGGGCUUGGAUAGAUGGAGGUUUUUGCAGGCCCUUUCUAAGGUGUCAGCUCCUCUGAAAUGUAUUAGCAGAACAACUUUGCAAUCUGAUACAGGCAAGAUAAUUAUCUAUGCCAAUUGGUUGCUCUGAAUGUGUUCAGCUUCCAGUCGUCUUCUAUGUGAGACAACAUUUGAACCUUUGACCUCAAAUCAGGUAGGACUACCCGCUGAACUUAAGCAUAUCAAUAAGCGGAGGA
rnacentral:misc_RNA from 1 species